rnacentral:rRNA from 1 species
UACAGAGGUCCCGAGCGUUGUUCGGAUUCACUGGGCGUAAAGGGUGCGUAGGUGGCAUGGUAAGUUUGAUGUGAAAGCUCAGGGCUUAACCCUGAAAUGGCAUUGAAUACUACUGUGCUGGAGGUUUGGAGGGGGGACUGGAAUUCUCGGUGUAGCAGUGAAAUGCGUAGAUAUCGAGAGGAACACCAGUGGCGAAGGCGAGUCUCUGGACAUUUCCUGACGCUGAGGCACGAAAGCCAGGGGAGCAAACGGG